AUCCAUAGGUUAAUGAGGCGAACCGGGGGAACUGAAACAUCUAAGUACCCCGAGGAAAAGAAAUCAACCGAGAUUCCCCCAGUAGCGGCGAGCGAACGGGGAGGAGCCCAGAGCCUGAAUCAGUGUGUGUGUUAGUGGAAGCGUCUGGAAAGGCGCGCGAUACAGGGUGACAGCCCCGUACACAAAAAUGCACAUGCUGUGAGCUCGAUGAGUAGGGCGGGACACGUGGUAUCCUGUCUGAAUAUGGGGGGACCAUCCUCCAAGGCUAAAUACUCCUGACUGACCGAUAGUGAACCAGUACCGUGAGGGAAAGGCGAAAAGAACCCCGGCGAGGGGAGUGAAAAAGAACCUGAAACCGUGUACGUACAAGCAGUGGGAGCCCUGAUUUAUCAGGGUGACUGCGUACCUUUUGUAUAAUGGGUCAGCGACUUAUAUUCUGUAGCAAGGUUAACCGAAUAGGGGAGCCGGAGGGAAACCGAGUCUUAACUGGGCGUUAAGUUGCAGGGUAUAGACCCGAAACCCGGUGAUCUAGCCAUGGGCAGGUUGAAGGUUGGGUAACACUAACUGGAGGACCGAACCGACUAAUGUUGAAAAAUUAGCGGAUGACUUGUGGCUGGGGGUGAAAGGCCAAUCAAACCGGGAGAUAGCUGGUUCUCCCCGAAAGCUAUUUAGGUAGCGCCUCGUGAAUUCAUCUCCGGGGGUAGAGCACUGUUUCGGCAAGGGGGUCAUCCCGACUUACCAACCCGAUGCAAACUGCGAAUACCGGAGAAUGUUAUCACGGGAGACACACGGCGGGUGCUAACGUCCGUCGUGAAGAGGGAAACAACCCAGACCGCCAGCUAAGGUCCCAAAGUCAUGGUUAAGUGGGAAACGAUGUGGGAAGGCCCAGACAGCCAGGAUGUUGGCUUAGAAGCAGCCAUCAUUUAAAGAAAGCGUAAUAGCUCACUGGUCGAGUCGGCCUGCGCGGAAGAUGUAACGGGGCUAAACCAUGCACCGAAGCUGCGGCAGCGACACUGUGUGUUGUUGGGUAGGGGAGCGUUCUGUAAGCCUGUGAAGGUGUGCUGUGAGGCAUGCUGGAGGUAUCAGAAGUGCGAAUGCUGACAUAAGUAACGAUAAAGCGGGUGAAAAACCCGCUCGCCGGAAGACCAAGGGUUCCUGUCCAACGUUAAUCGGGGCAGGGUGAGUCGACCCCUAAGGCGAGGCCGAAAGGCGUAGUCGAUGGGAAACAGGUUAAUAUUCCUGUACUUGGUGUUACUGCGAAGGGGGGACGGAGAAGGCUAUGUUGGCCGGGCGACGGUUGUCCCGGUUUAAGCGUGUAGGCUGGUUUUCCAGGCAAAUCCGGAGAAUCAAGGCUGAGGCGUGAUGACGAGGCACUACGGUGCUGAAGCAACAAAUGCCCUGCUUCCAGGAAAAGCCUCUAAGCAUCAGGUAACAUCAAAUCGUACCCCAAACCGACACAGGUGGUCAGGUAGAGAAUACCAAGGCGCUUGAGAGAACUCGGGUGAAGGAACUAGGCAAAAUGGUGCCGUAACUUCGGGAGAAGGCACGCUGAUAUGUAGGUGAAGCGACUUGCUCGUGGAGCUGAAAUCAGUCGAAGAUACCAGCUGGCUGCAACUGUUUAUUAAAAACACAGCACUGUGCAAACACGAAAGUGGACGUAUACGGUGUGACGCCUGCCCGGUGCCGGAAGGUUAAUUGAUGGGGUCAGCGCAAGCGAAGCUCUUGAUCGAAGCCCCGGUAAACGGCGGCCGUAACUAUAACGGUCCUAAGGUAGCGAAAUUCCUUGUCGGGUAAGUUCCGACCUGCACGAAUGGCGUAAUGAUGGCCAGGCUGUCUCCACCCGAGACUCAGUGAAAUUGAACUCGCUGUGAAGAUGCAGUGUACCCGCGGCAAGACGGAAAGACCCCGUGAACCUUUACUAUAGCUUGACACUGAACACUGGUCCUUGAUGUGUAGGAUAGGUGGGAGGCUUUGAAGUGUGGACGCCAGUCUGCAUGGAGCCGUCCUUGAAAUACCACCCUUUAAUGGCUGGUGUUCUAACGUUGGCCCGUAAUCCGGGUUGCGGACAGUGUCUGGUGGGUAGUUUGACUGGGGCGGUCUCCUCCUAAAGAGUAACGGAGGAGCACGAAGGUUGGCUAAUCCUGGUCGGACAUCAGGAGGUUAGUGCAAUGGCAUAAGCCAGCUUGACUGCGAGCGUGACGGCGCGAGCAGGUGCGAAAGCAGGUCAUAGUGAUCCGGUGGUUCUGAAUGGAAGGGCCAUCGCUCAACGGAUAAAAGGUACUCCGGGGAUAACAGGCUGAUACCGCCCAAGAGUUCAUAUCGACGGCGGUGUUUGGCACCUCGAUGUCGGCUCAUCACAUCCUGGGGCUGAAGUAGGUCCCAAGGGUAUGGCUGUUCGCCAUUUAAAGUGGUACGCGAGCUGGGUUUAGAACGUCGUGAGACAGUUCGGUCCCUAUCUGCCGUGGGCGCUGGAGAACUGAGGGGGGCUGCUCCUAGUACGAGAGGACCGGAGUGGACGCAUCACUGGUGUUCGGGUUGUCAUGCCAAUGGCACUGCCCGGUAGCUAAAUGCGGAAGAGAUAAGUGCUGAAAGCAUCUAAGCACGAAACUUGCCCCGAGAUGAGUUCUCCCUGAGACUUAGAGUCUCCUGAAGGAACGUUGAAGACGACGACGUUGAUAGGCCGGGUGUGUAAGCGCAGCGAUGCGUUGAGCUAACCGGUACUAAUGAACCGUGAGG
rnacentral:rRNA from 1 species